UACGUAGGUCCCGAGCGUUGUCCGGAUUUAUUGGGCGUAAAGCGAGCGCAGGUGGUUUAUUAAGUCUGGUGUAAAAGGCAGUGGCUCAACCAUUGUAUGCAUUGGAAACUGGUAGACUUGAGUGCAGGAGAGGAGAGUGGAAUUCCAUGUGUAGCGGUGAAAUGCGUAGAUAUAUGGAGGAACAUCAGUGGCGAAGGCGGCCACCUGGACCGGUAUUGACGCUGAGGCGCGAAAGCGUGGGGAGCAAACAGG
rnacentral:rRNA from 1 species